UCAGCUCCUUUGCCAUUCGGCUCAGAUCAAGAGUAGUAACUGUUCUUUCGCAGGGUGACACCUCGAAUCAAAUCAAUCACCACAAUUUUUGAACUCAUUCCGAGAAGCCGCUCGAUCUUGAUCGAAGUCUUUUGGAGGUGUUGCCGGUAUUGCACUGCCGCCGGCUGACGCCUAUCACUU
rfam:Zymoseptoria brevis strain Zb18110 contig301, whole genome shotgun sequence.